rnacentral:rRNA from 1 species
UAUAAAUGUAAUUUAAAUAACUAAAUUAGUAUUAGUUAUGUUCUUGAAAAUUAAAGAUUUUGGCGGUAUUUUAGUCUAUUCAGAGGAACCUGUUCUAUAAUCGAUAAUCCACGAUUUAAUUUACUUUUUUUAUUAAUUUACAUAUCAUCGUAAUUUGAAUAUUUUAUAAGAAUAAUAAUAUUCAAGAUUUUUUAUAAAAAAAUAAAUCAGAUCAAGGUGUAGUUUAUAAAAAAGAAGAAAUGGGUUACAUUAAAUAUAAUUUAGGAUUUUUAUUUGUAAUAUAAAAUGAAUUUGGAUUUGAAAGUAAUUUUAAUUAAUUAGUUGAUUUGAUUUUAGCUCUAAAAUAUGC